CAGCCUCCGCUGACCGCCGGCUGUGGGGACAAGGGAGGAAGCUGAGUCCCGCGGCCCCGGAACCGCCGAUCUCUGACCACGACAGUCCCUGCUCACUGUGUGUCGGCUGAAGGCUUUCAGGCUCUGUGGGAACUCCAGGCUCCCGAUGUGGGGUGAGGCUGUGAUGAGGAACAUCUGUUUGGGAGCUCUGUCCAGGACUGAGGAAAAGAGUGAAGACAGGAUCCUCAUCCUCCUCCUCCUCCUCCUCCUCCGCCGCCGCCGCCACCGCCCAGCAUGGUGGGUCUGGUGGCUCACUGUGCUUGGAGGACCAUUGAAGACCAUCAUCCUCUAUGGGUCUUGGACAUGGGACAGACUCUCUGUCACUUGAGGAACCCUGGGCCUAGGAGGACCCGCGUUACACUGAAUGUUAUGUCUCCUCCAUCUCACUGAUCUGUGACAGUUCUUCAGGCCUUCCCGCUUCCCGCUUUUUUCAUGGCCUGGACAACUUUGAUUUUACUUUCCCGCUUUGAAGAGUUGGAGUCUGCUGUGUUUAUAAGAACUGCCUGCCAGUUUGGAUUCCCGAGGUUUUCUCAUGAUCCAAUU